GGGGGAAUACCUAGUAAUUAGCCCAUUAAAAGCUUAAGCACAUGUACAAAGAAAUAGUAGUGAUUUUUUCAAAAUUAUAUAGUGAUCAAGAGAAAUAGCUAAAAAAGUUCCCACCAAAUAAAGGUUGGACACGUCAUCUUAUCCAUGUGUGUUUCACUAAUCCAAUCAAAAUCUGUCCAAGAAAGAAAUGAACAAUACAACUGAACAGUACAUUUUUUAUCAUGAAACAACAGAAUUAUGAGACAGUGAGAAAGCUAACCUUGUUACAUGUUUCAUGCUUAUCCUUG
rnacentral:lncRNA from 1 species